GUGGGGAAUAUUGGGCAAUGGGGGAAACCCUGACCCAGCGACGCCGCGUGAGGGAAGAAGGCCUUAGGGUCGUAAACCUCUGUUGUGUGGGAAGAAGAGCGUGACGGUACCACACGAGGAAGUCCCGGCUAACUACGUGCCAGCAGCCGCGGUAAUACGUAGGGGACGAGCGUUGUCCGGAUUUACUGGGCGUAAAGGGCGCGUAGGCGGUCAUUUACGUCAGCGGUGAAUUGGUUUGGCUUAACCGGAUCAUGCGGUGGAAACUGGAUGACUGGGAUGCUGGAGAGGCAAGUGGAAUUCCCAGUGUAGCGGUGAAAUGCGUAGAUAUUGGGGAGAACACCGGGGGCGAAGGCGACUUGCUGGCCAGCAACUGACGCUGAGGCGCGAAAGCCAGGGGAGCAAACGGGAUUAGAAACCCGGGUAGUCC
rnacentral:rRNA from 1 species